AGAGUUUGAUCAUGGCUCAGGACGAACGCUGACGGUGUGCUUUAGGCAUGCAAGUCGAACGAGAAAGCCCUUUGGGGUGAGUAGAGUGGCGAACGGGUGAGUAACACGUGGGCAACCUGCCCCUCGCAGGGGGAUAACCGGAGGAAACUCCGGCUAAUACCCCGUAAGCUUUCAGGGUCGCAUGGCUCUGUAAGGAAAGGUAGCUUCGGCCAUCCGGCGAGGGAUGGGCCCGCGGUGCAUUAGCUAGUUGGUGGGGUAAUGGCCCACCAAGGCGACGAUGUGUAGCUGGUCUGAGAGGAUGAUCAGCCACACUGGGACUGAGACACGGCCCAGACUCCUACGGGAGGCAGCAGCCAGGAAUCUUGGGCAAUGGGCGAAAGCCUGACCCAGCAACACCGUGUGGGCGAUGAAGGCCUUCGGGUCGUAAAGCCCUGUUGAUAGGGACGAAGGGCGAAGGGUUAAUAGCCCCUAGCCUGACGGUACCUUUCGAGGAAGCCCCGGCUAACUACGUGCCAGCAGCCGCGGUAAUACGUAGGGGGCGAGCGUUGUCCGGAAUUAUUGGGCGUAAAGAGCGUGUAGGCGGUUCGGUAAGUCUGCCGUGAAAACCUGAGGCUCAACCUCGGGCGUGCGGUGGAUACUGCCGGGCUAGAGGACGGUAGAGGCGAGUGGAAUUCCCGGUGUAGCGGUGAAAUGCGCAGAUAUCGGGAGGAACACCAGUAGCGAAGGCGGCUCGCUGGGCCGUUCCUGACGCUGAGACGCGAAAGCUAGGGGAGCGAACAGGAUUAGAUACCCCAGUAGUCC
rnacentral:rRNA from 1 species